CUUAGAGAGCUUGCUUUUUAAGCUUAGUGGCGAACGGGUGAGUAACGCGUGAGUAACCUGCCCUAGAGUGGGGGACAACAGUUGGAAACGGCUGCUAAUACCGCAUAAGCGCACAGCAUCGCAUGAUGCAGUGUGAAAAACUCCGGUGGUAUAAGAUGGACCCGCGUCUGAUUAGCUUGUUGGUGAGGUAACGGCCCACCAAGGCGACGAUCAGUAGCCGGCCUGAGAGGGUGAACGGCCACAUUGGGACUGAGACACGGCCCAAACUCC
rnacentral:rRNA from 1 species